AAAAUUUAAAGCUUAACUUUAAAAAAAUAUACAAUACUGUUUUACUUGAGUUUUAUACGGAAGAGUAGAAUUUCAUGUUAAGGAGUAAAUUCCAAGAAUACAUGAAGGAAUAUCAUUAGCGAAGGCGACUCUUUAGUACAAACUGACAUUGAGGGACGAAAGUGUAGGGAGCAAACAGGAUUAGAUACCCUGGUAGUCUACACUGUAAAUUCUGAGUGCUGUAAUUUAGAAAAUAAAUUUUGGAUUUUUUAAGCUAACGCCAUAAGCAUUCCGCCUGAGGAGUACGAUUGCAAAAUUGGAACUCAAAGGAAUUGACGGGAGCCUACAACGAGUGGUGGAGCAUGUGGUUUAAUGCGAUAAUCCGCGCAAAACCUUACCAACCCUUGACAUAUUGAAAAAUAAUUUAAACUAA
rnacentral:rRNA from 1 species